UAGCUCCCACAGAAGAAAAAAGAGCAGAGUGCCAUAUGGUAGUUAAAAAAAAAAAAAAAAAAAAAAAAAAAAAAAAAAAAAAAAAAAA